GCGCCUCCCUUUCACCAUACCUCCCCUUGUAUUUUCUGCCCUCAAGUUGGUAAGACGAUUACCAAGUCAGGAUGUGGAAGUAGCUGGCAAUGAGGUUUCUGCAACACCAAAGAAUAUUUUUCAGAUAUUGCAUCAGACUAUUGAGAUAUUAUCUUCGGUUUCUUCACCAGAACUUGCCCUAAGAUUGUACUUGCAAUGUGCAGAGGCUGCCAAUGAUU
rnacentral:misc_RNA from 1 species